UAAGUUGGCGUGGUAAUGGCGGUGCAACCUAAACCUUAUCUGUCUCCAACCGUUUUGUUUGUUUACUAAGCAUUUUCUCUCACAUUCCACGUCCCCAUCUAAUUCUUGCCGAAUACAGAAUCUCCAUUCCUUCUGCUGAUCCAAACACCCCCUGUCAUCCUUUCUUGCUUGGACCCUCAAACCGAUCCUCCUCACAUUUCUUGUCUUUCUUUCUUGCACAAAAUCACACUCAUUGCAUCUGAUCUAAAAUAUACAUUUUGUUUUUUUUGGUUGAAAAUAAAUAAAAAAUGGCUACAAUGGAGAGCUUGAUCGGUCUGGUAAACAGAAUCCAAAGAGCCUGCACUGUUCUCGGCGAUUAUGGCGGUGAAGGCAUGCCUCUCUGGGAAGCUCUUCCGUCCGUUGCUGUUGUUGGUGGCCAGGUCCUCUCUCUCGUAGCCUUUUUAAUUUUAAUUUUAAUUCUCGCAGGAGUAAUUAAUUUUUGUAUUUUUUGUGUUAAUAUACACAUAGUUCUGGAAAAUCUUCAGUCUUAGAAAGCGUUGUUGGCAGAGAUUUCCUUCCUCGUGGAUCUGGUACCCAGCGUCUCUUCCCACAUGAUAACUAAGCCAUAUGCUUGAUAGAGCUAGUCUCUUCCCAUGGACGAUGUGUGCCUCUAUACAGGACACACAAGUGCUUUUGUACAUGGAGGAAAAGGAAUGGUGAAAAAUAUUCUUCCCAGUCAACCAACAGCAUUCUCAUGCAGUAGAAAAAAGGAAAAGGAAUGGUCAAACGCACAUAAUGCAAAACCAGCUAACAACCCGUUACAUCCAGCAUUCAAUUUCUAGCACAAGUCAUUAUUCGUGAGUACUAUAUGAUUGCAACCACAAGAAGCAAAGCGUGAAUUUGUGCAGGACGUUUACACAAAACAGACAGUUGUUGUGGUCUUCAUACUUACAGUACAAAUACGAGCAAAAAGCAUGGGGCAGGUAUUCGGUGAUGCAGAAAAAGAUGUGAUGGAGCGGAAGAACCUUAUAAAUGGCAUGGGUCAUCAAACAGAGUUUUCUGGAGUGGCUGGUGCAAAACUUGUGUCAAUCGUAAUAUGGACAGCUCAUUGUUAGAUCAUGGUUCUGAGUCUUGCCUGCUUGCUAAGCACAACUCAUGCAAUUCGUUUAGUAUCCAUUCCUCCCCAGUGUGCCCCCCCAAUACUAGGACCCUAGUCCCUCCAACCACACAGGUGCUAUGACCCCAGGCAAACUUUGGUGGCUGACCAGGAACAUUGAGAAUCCUCCAUGAUGGUUUCUCCUCAGCAGGAUCCAACAGGAAAAGCUGAGAAGGAGAGUGCAGCCCAGCAAUGGAACCACCAAAGAUUAUAAUCCUUCCACAGGGCAUGCUAACAGCAACAUGAUCUAGUCUGGGAGGGGGGACAACAGAACUAUGGUUCCCAAUGCCUGUUAAUGCACUGCACUCCAGUUGCCUCCAUUGCGGUUCUUCAUCCUCCAAGUCAAUGGUGUAGGCCUCGCCUGAUCUCAGUCGUAAGUGUCCACUGUUGGCAAGUCCACCAAACAUAAGAAUUUUUGUCCGAUCAUAAACUGAGAGGGAAUGCCCUAAUCGAGAUGGAGGUGCCCAGGAAGUUGGGAUCUCUCUCCACAUCGGCUUGUCUGUAGUGAGAUCCAACAUGUAGGUGUCACUGAGAAGUACCCCGGCAUCUGUACAUCCGCCUGAGACAACCAGCUUAGAACCUUCUAUGGUGCAAGAGCUAUGCCAUGAUCUAGGUAGAGGGGGAGUCCCGCCAGAAACUUCCUUCCAAGUAGGCUGUUUGGCAUCCAAGUCCAGGACAAAAACAUCAUUGAGCAACCCUUGCCUACCACAUCCUCCAAAAACCACCAACCAGGAACCCUUGAGGCAAGAAAGAGUGUGGCCCCAGCGCCCUGGUGGGGAUGAUUUCACACUAAAACGCUGCCACUCUGGAUUUGCAGCAUCCAGAUUGAGAACAAACGUGUCAUCCAUUGGCUGCAUGUUUACCCCUUCCCCUCCAAACAAUACAAGUCUAUUUCCUACUGCACAUGCACUGAAAUUGCAGCGUGAAGGCUCAACAGCUCCUCCAACUGUCAGUUUCCUCCAGCACACAGCCUCAAGCGUAGUUAGUUCCCUUGCCAGACGCCCCCAGCCCAACUUUUUAGUCAUCAACUCCAAUGCACCAGUGACUUCUCUUCCCCAUGCAUUUUGACAAACCAUCUUCCUUACAUGCUCAUUUUUUGUUAAUUGCCGGAUUCUUCUGCAUACAGAUCCAAUGGAUGCAACAUCCCUUGGCGUCAAGCGUGAUAAAAUGUUAUGAGCCAAUACUUCAUCAGACAACUGAAGUAUUCCACAUAUUUCUGGAUGCCCAGUGAAUGUUGAUUGUCCACGCGGAAGAGAAUAAUUAGCCGAUUGAUCAGACAGCUGAUUGCAAGUCUCUUUGAAGACUGGAUAUGAUACAUGGUUCAGAUCUAUUUUGGCUUCUGAAAAUACCUGAAUACCAAUUAUGUGUGUGAUAGCUCCGUCAUCGUCAUGUAUAGGUACAAGUCUGAGCCUGUUCACCAAUGGAGUACCAUCCUUCCUAAAGUUUAGAAGUUCACCUUGGAAUUCCACCCCUUCCUCAAGACAUCUUCUGAUUUCAGAAACAACAACAGGAUCUACUAAAGGAUGCCUUCUUUGAGCAUGAGGAUCCCUGUAUUGUAAGAACCGACUGAAAAGAAAUAAUUUCCAAAGCAGUCAAUAUCGAUCCCUUACCUCGUAGAAAAAUCUCAGUAAGAAAAAUCACGGAAGCAAAAAUAUUGAACACAGAAACUGCACCUUAAAAAACGUUCAUGGAAAACUAAUCAAAUACAAAAAAAAUUUAAGCAAAAACACAAACAAAACCUGAAUAGCUGCACUUAAAAGGUGGGCUAACUGGUAAAUAUCCA